GAUGAACGCUGGCGGCGUGCUUAACACAUGCAAGUCGAACGAAGCACUUUAUUUGAUUUCCUUCGGGACUGAUUAUUUUGUGACUGAGUGGCGGACGGGUGAGUAACGCGUGGGUAACCUGCCUUGUACAGGGGGAUAACAGUUGGAAACGGCUGCUAAUACCGCAUAAGCGCACAGCAUCGCAUGAUGCAGUGUGAAAAACUCCGGUGGUAUAAGAUGGACCCGCGUUGGAUUAGCUAGUGGGUAGGUUAACGGCCCACGAAGGCGACGAUCCAUAGCCGACCUGAGAGGGUGACCGGCCACACUUGGACUGGGACACGGCACAAACUCCUACGGGAGGCAGCAGUGGGUAAUAUUGCACAAUGGGCGAAAGCCUGAUGCAGCUACGCCGGGUGAGCGAAGAAGUAUUUCGGUAUGUAAAGCUCUAUCAGCAGGGAAGAUAAUGACGGUACCUGACUAAGAAGCACCGGCUAAAUACGUG
rnacentral:rRNA from 1 species